rnacentral:lncRNA from 1 species
UUUUUCUUUUGGGCCAUAAUUAAAACUUAAUUAAAGUUCUUAAUUAACUCACCAAACCUUAAUUCUUUUCUUUCCUCCUAAUUCUUCAACUGCCUAGCUUUUUCCUUUUCGACUGUCCCCUAUCUCUCUCUUCUUCACCGCCCCCUAUAUCUCGGCCUUAACUUUUUUGCUCCUGGAGGAAGAUAACCAUGAAGAAGAUGCCAAGCGCGAUGAUGUCAUCUCGCCGGACUCGGGUACUCUAUCCUCGCUCCAUUUCUCCUCGACGACGGUGCUUGUGGAUAUCUCCCCCACAGUCUUAGAUGUCUCCACUCUUUCCUCGCUUUGCUAGAUAUGGUAAGAAAAGACUAGGUGGUGGGGGAGGGUGACGAUUGCUCGUCGAAUGCGUAGCAGCGGCAACAACAUGCAACGGCGCACGUGCUAAGAAGGCGAUCUUCAGAGACAAUGAUUAUUGAAAGAGGGAGUAUUUUAGGGCUUUUUCUGUGUGUGUGUGUGUGUUCCGAGCGAGAG